rnacentral:rRNA from 1 species
AUGAUUCAUCAUGGCUUCCUAGGAGCCCCGCUGAACUGCGACGCGCUACCUGCUCACAGCUUACACUCCCGCACCGAUGCCACCGACUUGAUGUAUCUCCAUGAGUCCGAUCCAUAUCAGGUUGCUGGAUCGGAUGUUGUUCGUCGUCGCCAGAAGUGUUCUGGCAAACCCCGUCCUCACCAUCAUUUGUCACGUCGCACAAUGGCUCAGUACGUAGCAUUGCUCCAACCCACUGAUUCUCUUCAUGGUCUUUUCGCAUCUAUCACGGGCGAUGAGGAGAGUUAUGGUAGCCAUGCUUCUAUAGUGGAGGUUUUUAUGGCAGACUGUAGUGACACGCGAUGGUUGCAGAGAACAACGAGAACGCCAACGGCCGGCGGUGGCGAUGUUGCCCGCGUGGCAAUGAUUCCCAUGGUGGUGAUGGUGCCUGUGGUGGCGUCAGAGCUCUCACUCAAGAGCAGUUGGCCACAAUGGCACGGGAGGCUGAGCAGACGCUUUAGACGCCAAUUGACUUGA